rnacentral:pre_miRNA from 1 species
UGGGGGAGGCCGGAUCCUGGGCUGUGUCCGAUGCCGUGCUCCGGGGCCUGCGCUGUUGGAUUCGCACUCCUGGCCUCACAGCCCCCC